rnacentral:tRNA from 1 species
GGCUCUGUAGCUCAGCGGUAGAGCGCCGGUCUCAUGAGCCGGAGGUCGGGGGGUCAGCACCCCCCAGAGCCA